rnacentral:rRNA from 1 species
UAGUCCACGCCGUAAACGAUGAUUACUCGCUGUAGGCGAUACACAGUCUGUGGCUAAGCGAAAGUUUUAAGUAAUCCACCUGGGGAGUACGAUCGCAAGAUUGAAACUCAAAGGAAUUGACGGGGGCCCGCACAAGCGGAGGAACAUGUGGUUUAAUUCGAUGAUACGCGAGGAACCUUACCUGGACUUAAAUGUACGUUGCAUAGAUUGGAGACAGUCUUUUCUUCGGACUACGUACAAGGUGCUGCAUGGUUGUCGUCAGCUCGUGCCGUGAGGUGUCGGGUUAAGUCCCAUAACGAGCGCAACCCCUAUCGUUAGUUGCCAGCAUUUAGUUGGGGACUCUAGCGAGACUGCCGGCGUAAGGUGUGAGGAAGGUGGGGAUGACGUCAAAUCAGCACGGCCCUUAUGUCCAGGGCUACACACGUGUUACAAUGGACGGUACAAAGGGCAGCUACCUGGCGACAGGAUGCUAAUCUCUAAAGCCGUUCUCAGUUCGGAUCGAAGUCUGCAACCCGA